rnacentral:rRNA from 1 species
AUGACGAGGAUGCAAGGCUGUGCGCCUGUGGUGCACUCGUCGUCUUUUGAAGGGGAAAAGGAAGCAUCUUGGAAGGGGAGGCGCGGGAGCCAGGGGCACUUCGGGCACAUUGAUCCAAGAAACUGCCCAAGGAGAACGAACAUGCGCUGUGCCAGUCCACGCUGCGAAACAGAAUCGAUCAGCGACAAAAACGGGAGGUCCUUUUUUUUUGAGAAAACAAAACAAAAACAAAAACGGGAGGUCCUAAUCGGCGCUGGCGCUCACGCGCACGCACUAUGGGCCAGCUCAUCUAACCUCAGCCCGCACACCCCCGCGGCGCACUGGGCCGGCCCAUUUCCGUGUUUUUAUUUGGACCCCGAUAACGCGCGACCGUUCGGUCUGGGAGGACCCAAGACCGAACGUCACGUUCGGGACGGGAGGGUAAUGAGGAAAGUAUCGUUUUCCCCCUGA